UACGAAGGGGGCUAGCGUUGUUCGGAAUACUGGGCGUAAAGCGCACGUAGGCGGGUUGUUAAGUCAGGGGUGAAAUCCUGGAGCUCAACUCCAGAACUGCCUUUGAUACUGGCAACCUAGAGACUGGAAGAGGUUAGUGGAAUUCCCAGUGUAGAGGUGAAAUUCGUAGAUAUUGGGAAGAACACCAGUGGCGAAGGCGGCUAACUG
rnacentral:rRNA from 1 species